rnacentral:misc_RNA from 1 species
GGAAACAGAAAGAUUGCUGGAUCAGCCUAUGAAUUAAGGCCGCUUUUUCAGAUACUUGCAGGUUCUUCUGAAUUUGAUUUGAGUGGUAGCAUUUCCAAAAUACUUGAUGAGCAAAGGGAAAUAAGAGAGCCCUUCAAUGUUCUAGAUUCUCCAACAGUUCUGAUGUCAACCAGAAGGCAAGCAUAUAAAGAUAGUUUACAACAGGGAAUUUUAAAUCCUGAAGGAAUUGAUGUUUCAUUUGAUAGUUUUCCAUAUUAUCUAAGUGAUACAACAAAGAAAGUUUUGAUAGGUGCUGCAUUCAUUCACUUAAAGUGUGACAAAAAAGUUCCAAAGCUUUCCUGUGAUCUUUCCACUGUGUCCCCACGCG